rnacentral:rRNA from 1 species
GAUGAACGCUGGCGGCGUGCCUAAUACAUGCAAGUCGAGCGAACAGACGAGGAGCUUGCUCCUCUGACGUUAGCGGCGGACGGGUGAGUAACGCGUGGAUAACCUACCUAUAAGACUGGGAUAACUUCGGGAAACCGGGGCUAAUACCGGAUAAUAUAUUGAACCGCAUGGUUCAAUAGUGAAAGACGGUUUUGCUGUCACUUAUAGAUGGAUCCGCGCCGCAUUAGCUAGUUGGUAAGGUAACGGCUUACCAAGGCAACGAUGCGUAGCCGACCUGAGAGGGUGAUCGGCCACACUGGAACUGAGACACGGUCCAGACUCCUACGGGAGGCAGCAGUAGGGAAUCUUCCGCAAUGGGCGAAAGCCUGACGGAGCAACGCCGCGUGAGUGAUGAAGGUCUUCGGAUCGUAAAACUCUGUUAUUAGGGAAGAACAAAUGUGUAAGUAACUAUGCACGUCUUGACGGUACCUAAUCAGAAAGCCACGGCUAACUACGUG